rnacentral:sRNA from 1 species
GAUGAAGUCGCUCACACAGUCACCGAGAGCCGGGUCCUCCAGAACACCAGGCACCCGUUCCUCACUGCGCUGAAGUACGCCUUCCAGACCCAUGACCGCCUGUGCUUCGUGAUGGAGUACGCCAAUGGGGGUGAGCUGUUCUUCCACCUGUCCCGGGAGCGUGUCUUCACAGAGGAGCGGGCCCGGUUUUAUGGUGCAGAGAUCGUCUCGGCUCUUGAGUACUUGCACUCGCGGGACGUGGUAUACCGCGACAUCAAGCUGGAAAACCUCAUGCUGGACAAAGAUGGCCACAUCAAGAUCACUGACUUUGGCCUCUGCAAAGAAGGCAUCAGUGACGGGGCCACCAUGAAAACCUUCUGUGGGACCCCGGAGUACCUGGCGCCUGAGGGCCACGGGCCCAGCCCUCAUUUCUCCUCCGUCCUCAGGUGCUGGAGGACAAUGACUAUGGCCGGGCCGUGGACUGGUGGGGGCUGGGUGUGGUCAUGUACGAGAUGAUGUGCGGCCGC